rnacentral:tRNA from 1 species
GGAAGGGUGCCGGAGCGGUUGAACGGGCUCGCCUGGAGAGCGAGUAGACGGGCAAAACCUGUCUCGUGGGUUCAAAUCCCACCCCUUCCGCCA